UCAAAACGACUCUCGGCAACGGAUAUCUCGGCUCUCGCAUCGAUGAAGAACGCAGCGAAAUGCGAUACUUGGUGUGAAUUGCAGGAUCCCGCGAACCAUCGAGUCUUUGAACGCAAGUUGCGCCCAAAGCCUUUUGGCCGAGGGCACGUCUGCCUGGGUGUC
rnacentral:rRNA from 1 species